UACUUCCCUGUUUUGCUUUCCUAAAACUCGUCGAACUAACUCACCGUUCCUAGUGCAAGUAGCAAAAAAUUUAAUGGUUGAUAUCCAAGGUUCCAAGUUCGAAUCCUAAUUGAUUCAUAUUUUCAGCUAAUUUUAUUUUUUAAAAAAAAAAUAAAUGAAACGGAUAGCAUGCUACCUUCCUCUCAAAAAAAACUCUUCAGACUAGUAACGUAGGCGGAUUCAGGGAAUCCAAUAAUCGAAUUCAAAAUUUGGAUCCGAACCCAAAACCAAAUCCAAAUCCGACAGAUUUGAAAAUUCAUAUCCAAAAUCAAAUCCGACCAAGAACUCGAAACCUAUACCCGAAACAAUUAUUUUUUUUUUACCAUAUUUCAAAACAUGUUAUAUUAAAAUCUAAAAUUUUAAAAUACAAAUUUAAAUAUAGAAUCAAGCAUACAUAUAGACCAUAUAAUGUGAAACCUAUUCGUGUUCGGAUCAGGUCAGGUUCGGGUUCGAGAUCCAGUUUGGUAUAGAUAAAAUUCAUGCCCAAACCUGAAUCCGCCUAAUUUUUGUUUCUUAUAUCCAUAUCCAAAAUCAUAUCCGUUUAGCAUCGAAUAAAUUCAUCCGGUUCGGAUUCGAGUAUCAAUACCCGUUGACAUCCCUCUUUUA
rnacentral:lncRNA from 1 species